GUAAUAGUGCUUGGUUACCUAAUUGGGUUAAACCUACAUGAAUAAUGAAUAAUAGUGUUUGAUUAUCCGACAGGGUUAAACCUACACAAAUGAUGAGUAAUAAUGUCUAGUGACUCGUUAGGGUUAAAUCUACACAACAAAUAGCUUGGCUAGGGCUUAAUAUACCUAUAUUCUUGAGUCUGCAACACAUGCUGGAGCUCAGAACUUUAAG
rnacentral:lncRNA from 1 species